AAUGUAGAUCUUGAUGUUAAUAAGGACAAUACGGAGGAGGAAAAUUUGCAGCCUUCACCCGAUGCUCCGAAUAUUGAUGAGCAGGUUGAUUCUCUGUUAUCUCUAUACGAUCCUAGAACAUGGGAUAAUCUUGACAACAGCAAACGGGAUAUUCUAAUUGAAAAGGGGCCUGUGAGAGAAAUGGAUCUGGUGUUCCCAAAGGAUGAUGAGGGUAGACAUUUCUCAUAUUUUCACUACACCAGAAAGUUAGCUAAUGAAGAGGUUAUUCACAGAGAGUGGUUGGUUUACUCUAAAGAGGUUGACAAAGUUUAUUGUUUUUGUUGCAAGUUAUUCAAAUCCAAUCAGAACAGGUCAUUGCUAGCAUCUGAUGGAUUGAGGGACUGGAGGCGUAUUAGUGCAAGACUCAAAGAACAUGAGGUUAGUGUUGAACACUUUACCAACAUGAAUACAUGGAAUGAACUAAGGUUGAGGUUAAGCAGAAACAAAACAAUUGAUGAUGAGAUGCAGCAGAAGGUUGCAAAGGAAAAAGAGCGUUGGAGACAGGUAUUGCUCAGGAUAGUUUCUUUAGUGAAGUUUCUUGCAAAACGUAAUUUGGGAUUUCGAGGAACAAAUGAGAAGCUGUUUGAACAUAAUAAUGAACAUAUUAGGCGCAUUCAAAACAAGGAAAUACAUCAUCAUUAUCUUGGCCAUGGUAUUCAGGAUGAGUUGAUCUUACUUCUUGCUGAUUCCGUCAAAAAGUUUAUCUUAAAGACCAUCAAGGAUGCCAAGUAUUUCUCUGUUAUAUUUGACUGUACUCCAGAUGUGAGCCAUGAAGAACAAAUGACGCUAAUUGUGCGUUGUGUGAAUAUGUCAAGUAACAUUCCAAGAGUCGAGGAGUUUUUCCUAGAGUUUUUAAAGGUUCAUGAUACAUCAGGAUUAGGGCUUUUUAAUGUGUUGAUGGAUACAUUGGACUCUCUUGAUCUGGACGUUGCUGAUGUAAGAGGGCAAGGUUAUGACAAUGGUUCUAACAUGAAGGGAAAAAAUCAAGGUGUUCAGAAUCGCUUGCUUGAAGUUAAUCCCAAAGCAUUAUAUAUGCCAUGUGCAUGUCAUAAUUUGAAUCUCACUCUUUGUGAUAUGGCAAAAUCUUGCGAACAUGCCAUUUCAUUCUUCGGUAUUAUCCAGCGUAUAUAUGUACUGUUUGCACGUUCUACUAAAAGGUGGAAGAUUUUGCUUGAUAAUGUUCCAGGUCUGACUCUCAAACCUUUGUCUGAUACUCGUUGGGAGAGCCGAAUAAAGAGUGUGCAACCUAUAAGGUACCAAACUUCCCAAGUAAGAUCAGCUUUGAAGGAGUUGGAGAAGACUGCUAGGGAGGAUAAUGAUCCAGCUACAGUACGUGAUGCUCAAUCUUUGUUCAAAGCACUUGGGAAAUUUGAGAAUUUAGUUGGUAUGAUUAUUUGGCAUGACAUACUAUUUUCUAUUAAUAUGGUGAGCAAAAUGUUACAAGAAAAAAUGGUGUGCAUCGAUGCUACUCUAAAACACAUUGAUGGGGUCAAGUCAUAUUUUCAGAAGUAUAGAGAUGAAGGCUUCAAUUCUAGUAUUGAAAGUGCCAAAGCCAUUGCGUUGGAUAUGGGCAUAGAGCCCCAAUUUCGUACAAAACGUAAAAGUAAAAGGACGAAGCAUUUUGAUGAAAUCAAUGAUGAAGAUGAAGAUCUACAACUGUCAGCUAUUGAUCGAUUUGAUCAGCUGAAGGCAUUUGAAGAUUUGUUUGGUUUCUUAUUCAACUCAAAUAAUCUCAAGUCUUUGGAUGAAAGUAGUCUACGCAAAUCAUGCACCACUUUUGCAAAAGCUUUUACUCAUAAUAAGUCGCGAGAUGUUGAUGAUGAUUUUUUCUCCGAGUUAAAAGUAUUGCAACUAACCUUGCCAGAUGCUUUGAUGUCAGCACUUGAGAUUCUUCAGUUUGUUACCGCUGCAAAUUGCUAUCCAAAUGUAUCAGUUGCCUAUCGGAUCCUCUUGACUAUACCUGUGACUGUAGCCUCAGCUGAAAGAAGUUUCUCUAAACUGAAACUAUUGAAGAAUUGUUUGAGGUCAACUAUGUUACAAGACAGAUUGAAUGGCUUGGCUACAUGUUGCAUUGAGAAGGAUAUCUUGGAUAAAAUUGAUCUUGAGAUUAUAAUCAAUGAUUUUGCAUCUAGAAAUGCCCGGAGAAGCUUUUUUAUGAAGCAUUGA
rnacentral:rRNA from 1 species